rnacentral:tRNA from 1 species
GCAGUGGUGCUUCGGUGGUAGAAUUCUCGCCUCCCGGGCAGGAGACCCAGGUUCGAUUCCUGGCCAGUGCA